rnacentral:rRNA from 1 species
UUGCUUCUCUUGAGAGCGGCGGACGGGUGAGUAAUGCCUAGGAAUCUGCCUGGUAGUGGGGGAUAACGUUCGGAAACGGACGCUAAUACCGCAUACGUCCUACGGGAGAAAGCAGGGGACCUUCGGGCCUUGCGCUAUCAGAUGAGCCUAGGUCGGAUUAGCUAGUUGGUGGGGUAAUGGCUCACCAAGGCGACGAUCCGUAACUGGUCUGAGAGGAUGAUCAGUCACACUGGAACUGAGACACGGUCCAGACUCCUACGGGAGGCAGCAGUGGGGAAUAUUGGACAAUGGGCGAAAGCCUGAUCCAGCCAUGCCGCGUGUGUGAAGAAGGUCUUCGGAUUGUAAAGCACUUUAAGUUGGGAGGAAGGGUUGUAGAUUAAUACUCUGCAAUUUUGACGUUACCGACAGAAUAAGCACCGGCUAACUCUGUGCCAGCAGCCGCGGUAAUACAGAGGGUGCAAGCGUUAAUCGGAAUUACUGGGCGUAAAGCGCGCGUAGGUGGUUUGUUAAGUUGGAUGUGAAAUCCCCGGGCUCAACCUGGGAACUGCAUUCAAAACUGACUGACUAGAGUAUGGUAGAGGGUGGUGGAAUUUCCUGUGUAGCGGUGAAAUGCGUAGAUAUAGGAAGGAACACCAGUGGCGAAGGCGACCACCUGGACUAAUACUGACACUGAGGUGCGAAAGCGUGGGGAGCAAACAGGAUUAGAUACCCUGGUAGUCCACGCCGUAAACGAUGUCAACUAGCCGUUGGAAGCCUUGAGCUUUUAGUGG